GUGUCUGGCAUAUGCAGUAGGUGAUCUGUGUCUGGCGUAUGCCGUAGGUGAUCUUCCUGUGUCUGGCAUAUGCAGUAGGUGAUCUUUCUGUGUCUGGCGUAUGCAGUAGGUGAUUUGUGUCUGGCGUAUGCAGUAGGUGAUUUGUGUCUGGCGUAUGCAGUAGGUGAUCUUUCUGUGUCUGGCGUAUGCAGUAGAUGAUCUUUCUGUGUCUGGCGUAUGCAGUAGGUGAUCUUUCUGUGUCUGGCGUAUGCAGUAGGUGAUCUUUCUGUGUCUGGUGUAUGCAGUAGGUGAUCUUUCUGUGUCUGGCGUAUGCAGUAGGUUAUCUUUCUGUCUGAUUUAUGCAGUAAGUGUUCUGUGUCUGGCAUAUGCACUAGGUGAUCUUUCUGUGUCUGGCGUGUGCAGUAGGUGAUCUUUCUGUGUCUGGCGUAUACAGUAGGUGAUCUGUGUCUGGCGUAUGCAGCAGGUGAUCUUUCUGUGUCUGGCGUAUGCAGCAGGUGAUCUUUCUGUGUCUGGCGUAUGCGGCAGGUGAUCUUUCUGUGUCUGGCGUAUGCAGUAGGUGAUCUUUCUGUGUCUGGCGUAUGCAGCAGGUGAUCUUUCUGUGUCUGGCGUAUGCAGUAGGUUAUCUUUCUGUCUGAUUUAUGCAGUAAGUGAUCUUUCUGUGUCUGGCAUAUGCAGUAGGUGAUCUUUCUAUGUCUGACUUAUGCACUAGGUGAUCUUUCUGUCUGACUUAUGCAGUAGGUGAUCUUUCUGUGUCUGGCGUAUGCAGUAGGUGAUCUUUCUGUGUCUGGAAUAUGCAGUAGGUUAUCUUUCUGUCUGGCGUAUGCAGUAGGUGAUCUUUCUGUGUCUGGCGUAUGCAGUAGGUGAUUUGUGUGGUGUGUGCAGUAGGUGAUCUUUCUGUGUCUGGCCCUUGCUA